CAUAAAAAAUGAUCACGUGCAAGGCACAUGGUGGUUUCCGAUAAAAAACUAGUAGGAAAUCUAGGUAGGGACCAAAUUUGACCAAUAUGAAUUUGUAAGGGAUGUAAAAUUACACUUUUAAAAGUGAGGGACUAAAAAAGUCAUUUUGUAAAAUAUGAGAAACGUUUUGAACGAUUUUUCCUAAAAAAUUGUAGUCUCAAGAAAUGUCCUAAAUUUGGGAUAGAGGCAGCACAUAAUUGUUUUACUAACAGUGAAAGAAUGGGGACAAUUGACAAGAAGCUCCAAAACUUGGGCUGCGUGAAGAAUUUCAAAACCUGAGGUGGGUAUUUUCUUGUUAUUCAAACCAGCAUGAAGCUAUACCAGUUUGUUGGAUAAUUUGAAGUAGGCAUGGCUUAUUGAAAAUGGAAAUGGUGACCAAGUAAUGAUUUAUGUGAGCACAGAUUACUGAGCUACAAUCUCCCAGACCUGAUUGACCAAACAUGAUGACUGAUGAGAAACAACCUCCUAGGAAGUGAUUUGCAUCAAAAAUAUAUCACUGGGUCGAUAAGAGUUAUCCACAAAAAGAUUGUAAUGGCUUAGCUUCACUUUGCUCAGCUUGAUGUUCAAGCCUCACUUCCAUGUACUGUACUACUGCUGCCACAUGAAGUAGAGAUUCCCUGUCCAGGCUGCUAAGCCUUUAGGUGAGGGAGUAUACCGCUCUUUGAAAACAAUGAACUAACCAAACCACUGGAACCCUCACAGAAGACAUUCAACUGGAGAAGGCAUCCUUACUGGAUGACAAAUUAAGUUCAGGUCUCGAGUCCAAUGAGAAGGAUGAUGGAGCCAGAGUACCCAUUGAAGAUCCAACAGCGUAAGGAGCAACAGGCACAUCAGCAAGAGAAGAUGCAGAUGGACUAUAGCUUAGAGACCCCAUUGGGUGAUCAAACAUGCAUGAACGCCCAAAUUUGGAUACUUCAUUUUGUAAAUAGUGAUGACAAACAGCCAACACCCGGACGUAGAGGUAGACCCUUGAGGCUAAGGACAAGAUUUGCCUUCUGUGCACUCCAUUCAGGUUGGUGAUGAUAUCUACAGAAAGGCCAAAAUUUACAGUACCCAGUUUUCAUAUAAUACUGGCAUUCAGGUUGGCCAGGACUUUCUGAAACUGCAUGCUUCUUGUGGAUGCUACCUGAAGGACCUGCGGCAGGUGGAAUAGAUAGAUACUGUCCUUAUAUGCUGGGUGUUGAAGGAGACAACUAGUUAUUCCAUAAACAGGACCAGCUCUCACUGCAGGUUGAGUACUUGCAGUGGCUGCAAGACUUCAGGCGCCAGAUCAUCGGGUAAUAGACUUUGUUCGAGAUGGAGUUUGGGAUCAAAAUCUGCUAAACCAGUCACUGCAUUCGGUUGUGGUUAGUCAGGUUUCACAGAUUUCUCCUCCCUCCUUUCACGCUAAUGAUGAUAUGGUUUGGUCUCUUUCAUCUGCAGACAAGUUCUCCAUGUCUUCGUCUUCACCUAGUGAGAAAAGCAAGGAAAUCCUCCUUGGCGUUUGUGGGUAUUUGGCCCUCGAGUAUUCCUUUAAAGGUUUCUUUUUUCAUCCUUCGGUGCUUAUUUAAUCGUUUGUCUGUGCUUGAUACACUAAGUUUGGGAUCCAUGGUCAGUCUAAGUGUUGGUGUCGGGAAAAUCCAGCUUUAGAGACUUUUGAUCAUGCAUUUAGUGAUAGGCAACUUGCUGCUUUAGUAUGGAGUUUCUUUGAAGGUGUGGCUGGCAUUUUGCCUUUGGGUUCUGCUAGUUAAUUGGUGGUUGCAACCAACUACAAACCCUUCACAGGUUUUUAUAUAUAGAGUAGUACUUAUCUUCGUUUGCUAGCAUUUAUGGAAGGUGGGGAAUGAGGCAUUUUCUGAAGGGCGUUUCUCGACUCAUCAUCAUCUUUGCUAACAAAAUUUUAAGGGUGUUGCUAAUCCAUGUGCUCUCGAGUUCAAAGGAAUUGGAUUUGUCACUACAUCUUGGGUGCAAUUUUACCAGUCAGCCUCUUCUUUCAAGAAGAAACUUAGGCCGAUUCCUGUGAGAUGGAUCAGUCCACCUGCUGCUGAUUUUACACUUAACUCAGAUGGUUUUUCAGAAGGUAAUCCAGGACUUAAGGUGGCAGAGGGGUUGUUUAGAAGUUUCUUUUUUUUUUUUUAUUGUUCAGAAGGUGAUUCAGCACAAUUUUCUUUUCCUUAGGAAUCUCAUUUUUGUCAACUUAAAAGAAACUUUUUCAGGGCCGCCUACAUAUCUAUAAUUCAUCAAGUCAUCGCUAACCCGAUCUUCACUUCUUGAUA